rnacentral:misc_RNA from 1 species
CUUCCGUUAUGAUAAUCGUCCAUGUUCCGCCAUUGUGUGUAUUCAUAAAAAGAAGACGAUCACUGAUGGGAUAACCCCGACUCUGUAUUACGAAGUCGGCCCAUAACUUGUGGCACCACGAUGGAGAAACAGAAUUCUCUGGAUGACUUCAUUGACAUCCAUAUCUGUGGUGCCUGCAAGAGUCAGUUCAACAAUGUUGAAGUGUUUCUACUGCACAAGAGCCAAUGUCCAUCCUUGGCAGAAUUGCGGGCCAAGAUGGCUGCCAAGGUGUCGUCUGCUCCCAGUUUGGAAGCGAGCAGUAAUAGCGAAGCACCUCGGACAACGGAAGGGGAAGUGGUGUCAAUCAAACACCUUGUUCAGGCUGCAGAGAGCCAGUUGCUCACACCCCAACAGAUUCCUAGUGGCGCGUCGGAGGUGGAUGGUCAACAUUCCACCUCCAUCACUGUUCAGUCGGGUUCAGGACAGUCCAUGGUGCUAACGAAGGACGGCAUCUUACAAGCUCCAGAAGAUUCUACCUCAGGUUGGUCACAGCAAGUGGAACAAAAUACUCCAACAUCGAGUGUCAUGUUUCUGUCCAGUGAAGAGGCUGCCGUGUUUCAAAAAACAAAGGAAGCGUCUCUGGAGGAAAAGCACAAAAUACCCAGAAGUCAAGACAAUCAGCAUGACCUUAAGCAGCUUCAGCCUGCACAGACAAUUUAUGUGGAGGCGAUCCAUCAGCCGGAGCAAGACUAUGAACUGAAUCGGCUGAAGACAAAAGAGGAGCAGUUCAGUGGUGUCAGCCUCUCUCUGAGCAGUGGUGGCUCGCCUCGGCAGGGGGAGAGAACUGAUGUUAUUGUUACAGAGAACAUGCUGACUGCAUCAGGGCAACAGGGGAUGGUGAUUGAGUCGGGGGCUCUGCUGCCCAACUCCGAGUUGGUCCACCAGGGGGAGCAGUAUCUGGUGAGCGAAGAUGGAGAUGCUUCCGAAGUUCAAACUGUCAUGUAUGCAGAGGAGACACCCCUCCCUCAGCACAAACCUUUCACGGGCAUGAGAGGACAUGAACUGAUGUUGGCGAUAGAUGACCCUGUCUCACCGAGUCGCAAGAAGUACAAGUGCACAUUUGCAGCAUGUAACUUCAUCACACUGUAUGUGCGAGACCUGGAGCGCCAUGUACGCACGCACACGGGAGAGCGGCCAUUUCAGUGUAUGCACUGCAGCAAAGCCUUCAGCCGCAGCGACAAACUGAAGAUACACCUGCGUGGGCACACAGGGAGCAAACCCUUCAAGUGUCAUUACUGUGAUUACGGAGCCGCUGACAGCAGCAGCCUCAGGAAGCAUCUUCGCAUACACACAGAUGAGAGGCCAUUUAAAUGCCAGAUUUGCCCGUAUGCAAGCCGCAACUCCAGUCAGUUAAUCGUCCACCUCCGCACACACACGGGUGACACACCUUUCCAGUGCUCCCUCUGUGAUGCCAAGUUCAAGAUUAACUCCGACCUAAAGCGCCACAUGCGCACACACACAGGGGAGAAGCCCUAUGGCUGUGAAUUGUGUGACUACAGAUGCUCUAUCAGAGGCAACCUUAAAAGUCACAUCCGUAUAAACCAUUCCAAUGAGAAUGAGGUGAAGUGCAACUAUUGUGACUUCCAGACAUCGUCACGGAAACUACUUCGGGAACAUAAGAAGAUUCAUGACACAACUCAUCCGGUGAAAUGUCCGACGUGUAAUUAUUGCUGUGCUAACAACAGUGCCCUCAAGGCUCAUAUGCGCAUCCACAGCGACGAACGACCUUUUAAUUGCAGCUUUUGUUCCUAUUCAUCAAAACAGAGUGGAAACGUGAAAACCCAUGUACGUAAGAAACACCCAGAAAAGAUGCUGGGGGAUCGUAAGCCAGGCAGAACAAUUAUUAAGAAGAGUGCUCGGGCUGUGUCCACGAAUACCCCCAGUCCCACUAAAACACGAGAGGAUAGAGGAUAUGGGUUCAAUCUGAAACCAAAUUGUAAAAAAACAUUUAGUUGUAAUAUAUGCUCAGCUGCUUUUGUGAGAGAGGACUCUCUGAGAAGCCACAUGAGACAACAUUGUAAGGAGAUAGCCCAGAACCUGGAGAGCACUGCCUUGGCUGUUCUUCAGCUCCAGAAUUCCGGUCAAAGUGACAGCCAGAUGUCUGACACAGUCGUGUCAACCAUCGCCAAUAUGGUUCAUCCCGGAGACCCAAUGGAGACUGAAAUGGAGGCAGUGAUGGUGGCAUCUCCCACCAGUAUCGUUUCCAGUGUCAAUGUCAUCCAGUCGCCAGUGGUCUCCCACACAAUUCAGACGUCUGCUCAGAUGGCCCAGCAGAGGAUGCACAUCAGGAGGAAGCGAUCCAGUAGUCGGGGUGGGCUUCAGGACAUAGCUGAAGCUGCCGCCACCCUCUCCCAGAUUCCCCACGGGUGUCCCUCCCCUGUCCGACCGACGUCCCCCUACCAGCAUCAGCAGCAGUAUGUGAACACUUCCAGGGCUAAUAUGGGAUUCCAGGAUGAAUCUUUGUCACUCGGGCAGCUUCCUCCAACAUCAGAACAUCAGAAUAUGCAUCAUCAGCAGUUUAUACAAAGCUCACAGGGCAUGCAAGUCCUGCAGAACCCCUACCCAGGCCUGAAGCUUAUCAACAACAAGCCUUACCCCUCUAAUGAUGGCGUUCAACAUUCCCUGACCCCCCACCAUCAGGUGGUCCAGCACAUAAACCCCCAUCAGCUUCCUCCCCGGGGCAUCGCUCAGCAGCCCGAAGCAGCGGCCAUCAACUUACAGGUUGUCCAGCCACCUGACCCUUACCCAGUCAGCCUGGUCACUCGUGACCUUCAGCUUCAACAGCAGCAAAAUCAACACCAGCAGCAGCAGCAGCAGCAACAACAACAGCAGCAGCAGCAGCAACAACAUAUGCACCAGUCCCAGCUGGCACAACAUGCACAUCCUCAGCACCUACAACCUCAGCAACAUCCGCAGCAGCAGCAGCAGCAGCAGCAUCAGCAGCAUCAUGGAGCAGCAGCAGCAACACAGCCAGCACAAAUCCAAAUCAUCCUACCAUCAAGUGGCUUCUCAACUCCUCAUCAUGGCAACCAGCAAGUGCCUCCAGUAUCGCUACCAAGUCAGGUGUCUCAGUCUGGGCGUCCACAGAUUGUCGUACAGUUCCAGGAGCCGGCAGUGUCGACUCCUGCACCACAGCCAAAUGUCAUCACACUGUCCUCGUCCGUCUGCCAGGCUCUCAUCUCACAGAUGCGGAUGCAAGACUCCAUAGCAGGCCAGAACUCAGGCUAUCAACCAGACAGCACGUCUGUGACGUCCCAGGAAGUCGUUGUUGCUGUUGAUGCACAGGGUGCAGCGUCCUCGCAUGGAGAGCUGUCGCCUCUGCCUCAAUACCAGAGAUUGGAAAGGAAGUUAGGCUCAAAAGAUGGAGUAUUUUCAUGAUUCUCCACAGCUUUCAGACCACCACCCAUCAAUCCCAGAAUAUCAAAUGGCUGUCCCAGAUGUAUGAAUGCGUACUGUCGAGAAGCUGAAGGGCAUUGGAGCUAGUCUGUGAAGAUCUCUCUAACUUGAGACCAAGAUGGCAGCAACAGCUGCAACCGUAGACUGCUGCUUCAAUAGCUGAUGAAGACUCCGAUGUGUUAUGACUGUAAACUUUGAAUAAACUUGCCCUGUAUAAUUGA